rnacentral:rRNA from 1 species
GAUGAACGCUAGCUACAGGCUUAACACAUGCAAGUCGAGGGACCGGCGCACGGGUGAGUAACACGUAUCAAACCUGCCCUUUACUCGGGGAUAGCCUUUCGAAAGAAAGAUUAAUACCCGAUGUAAAGGAUGGGGAUGCGUUCCAUUAGGUUGUUGGUGAGGUAACGGCUAACCAAGCCUUCGAUGGAUAGGGGUUCUGAGAUGAAGGUCCCCCACAUUUGAACUAAGACACGGUCCAAACUCCUACGGGAGGCAGCAGUGAGGGAUAUUGGUCAAUGGGCGUUAGCCUGAACCAGCCAAGUAGCGUGAAGGAUGUAGGCUUCUGGGUCGUCAACUUCUUUUAUAUAACAAUCUGUAUUAUAUGAAUAAGGAUCGGCUAACUCCGUGCCAGCAGCCGCGGUAAUAC